rnacentral:rRNA from 1 species
AGUGAACGCUGGCGGUAGGCCUAACACAUGCAAGUCGAACGGCAGCACAGGAGAGCUUGCUCUCUGGGUGGCGAGUGGCGGACGGGUGAGGAAUACAUCGGAAUCUACUCUGUCGUGGGGGAUAACGUAGGGAAACUUACGCUAAUACCGCAUACGACCUACGGGUGAAAGCAGGGGACCUUCGGACCUUGCGCGAUUGAAUGAGCCGAUGUCGGAUUAGCUAGUUGGCGGGGUAAAGGCCCACCAAGGCGACGAUCCGUAGCUGGUCUGAGAGGAUGAUCAGCCACACUGGAACUGAGACACGGUCCAGACUCCUACGGGAGGCAGCAGUGGGGAAUAUUGGACAAUGGGCGCAAGCCUGAUCCAGCCAUACCGCGUGGGUGAAGAAGGCCUUCGGGUUGUAAAGCCCUUUUGUUGGGAAAGAAAUCCAUCUGGUUAAUACCCGGAUGGGAUGACGGUACCCAAAGAAUAAGCACCGGCUAACUUCGUGCCAGCCGCCGCGGUAA